rnacentral:rRNA from 1 species
AGUGAACGCUGGCGGUAGGCCUAACACAUGCAAGUCGAACGGCAGCACAGUAAGAGCUUGCUCUUACGGGUGGCGAGUGGCGGACGGGUGAGGAAUACAUCGGAAUCUACUUUUUCGUGGGGGAUAACGUAGGGAAACUUACGCUAAUACCGCAUACGACCUACGGGUGAAAGCAGGGGAUCUUCGGACCUUGCGCGAUUGAAUGAGCCGAUGUCGGAUUAGCUAGUUGGCGGGGUAAAGGCCCACCUAGGCGACGAUCCGUAGCUGGUCUGAGAGGAUGAUCAGCCACACUGGAACUGGGACACGGUCCAGACUCCUACGGGAGGCAGCAGUGGGGAAUAUUGGACAAUGGGCGCAAGCCUGAUCCAGCCAUACCGCGUGGGUGAAGAAGGCCUUCGGGUUGUAAAGCCCUUUUGUUGGGAAAGAAAAGCAGCAGGUUAAUACCCCGCUGUUCUGACGGUACCCAAAGAAUAAGCACCGGCUAACUUCGUG